CCUACGGGUGGCAGCAGUGGGGAAUAUUGCACAAUGGGCGCAAGCCUGAUGCAGCCAUGCCGCGUGUGUGAAGAAGGCCUUCGGGUUGUAAAGCACUUUCAGCGGGGAGGAAGGCGGUGAGGUUAAUAACCUCAUCGAUUGACGUUACCCGCAGAAGAAGCACCGGCUAACUCCGUGCCAGCAGCCGCGGUAAUACGGAGGGUGCAAGCGUUAAUCGGAAUUACUGGGCGUAAAGCGCACGCAGGCGGUCUGUCAAGUCGGACGUGAAAUCCCCGGGCUCAACCUGGGAACUGCAUUCGAAACUGGCAGGCUAGAGUCUUGGAGAGGGGGGUAGAAUUCCAGGUGUAGCGGUGAAAUGCGUAGAGAUCUGGAGGAAUACCGGUGGCGAAGGCGGCCCCCUGGACAAAGACUGACGCUCAGGUGCGAAAGCGUGGGGAGCAAACAGGAUUAGAUACCCCGGUAGUC
rnacentral:rRNA from 1 species